UGCCUCAUUAUCUGGUACUGUUUUAAGUAAAUUAAAUGAUCCCUUCUACUGACUUCACCUGGAAGUCCCUGUGGCAGGCUUUGUUCUUUCCGGUGAGCCAAGCUCUGAGCUGUGGGAGGCAUUAGCAGAUGCAGGUGGCAGAGUAAUUGCAGUCCCCUUGCACAACUCUGUGAUGAUACCAGCUCAGCAUUGCCUUUAGAGCGAGUAACACAGAAUGGAGAAUGACAUUUUCCCCAGCCCAGCCUUCUCACAGCAGGCAACAGAGAGAAGAAAAAGUUCUAAAAUCCCACCUCUUAUGAGAAAUAUGUGUUAGUGCAAGCCAUAUGGAAAGGUGCCAUGAGACACCCAUUCGGUGAAGACAUUUGAAGCUGGGCAAAGAAUGUGUACAGUGUAUCCUGGAGACAAGGUAUGCCAGAGGCAGGACCAAUUCAAACAACGCUGCAGAACUCCAGGGCUGACUUGAGGCCUAUAAGGCAAUGUAAGGAUACAGCACGCUUCCAUUUAGGAGAGAGACAAGACAGUUAAAGCAUGCUGGCUAUGCAAAAUACACACAAAACUUUUCCAAGGAAGCACACUGGUGAUAGAACUAAGGGAGAAAAAAUGCUUGACUUGAAGAACUAUUGAUGGCUUUUCACCUAAGAGAUUUGGAUCAGAUAAUCAAAAUAUAUUACAUGGAAAUGAUCACAGAAGCCAACAGCAGAGAGAGGCCGAUUUCACGUAUAGACAGUACAUACGCGAAGCAUCGCCCUAAAGUUCACAAAAGAGGAGUGAGUUACUUUGCAGUAAAUAGAAGAAGUGGAGAGAAAACACAGUUUUCCAUUGGGCAAGAAACAAAAAAUGAAAAUGAACAAUGAAUUUGUUUGUCUGCCCCAAAAUUUUUGACUACCUAAACAACAAAUAAUCCAGUGUGCUUGUGGGUAACUGGCAAGAAAAAUCAGAGAGGGAAAGGGAAACUGGCCACUCAGCUAGUUGCCAUGAAUUAGCAUUUAGACAUUGUUCUCCAGAAUUUUUCCACAGAAACAUGCCCAUUAGGAAACAGGUGAUCCACUUUGUUAUGUAUUGAACAUCUUUCUUUACUAGCCUUGAAAACAAACUCAUAUGAAGAACAGUUUAUUAACUGGUAAGAAGCAAAAUAUAUCUAUCCACCUCAUUUAUUAGACCUGCUUCUGAGGAGUUCCCUACUGUUCAGGAAAGGCACAUGCAAAACAAAUCCUGACCUCAGUCAGCGAUUCUGCCCUCUAAGGAUGCUCUCUCUGUCUGUAUGUAUGUGUGUGAGAUUUCUGAGUGUAUAGCAUUAGCUACAUUUCAUGUGAUUCCUAGAAGAACUCCCCAUACAUUAUGUAGGUAUCAAUAUUUUUCUCAUGGUAACAUCUGCUAUUUUCUAAGGGAACGAAUAGAAAACACCUAGAGCAACGUAGGCUGCAGUGUCCUAAACAAGCUGCAAGCAAGCU
rnacentral:lncRNA from 1 species